rnacentral:rRNA from 1 species
AGUGGCGAACGGGUGAGUAAUACAUCGGAACGUGUCCUGGAGUGGGGGAUAGCCCGGCGAAAGCCGGAUUAAUACCGCAUACGCUCUAUGGAGGAAAGCGGGGGAUCUUCGGACCUCGCGCUCAAGGGGCGGCCGAUGGCAGAUUAGCUAGUUGGUGGGGUAAAGGCCUACCAAGGCGACGAUCUGUAGCUGGUCUGAGAGGACGACCAGCCACACUGGGACUGAGACACGGCCCAGACUCCUACGGGAGGCAGCAGUGGGGAAUUUUGGACAAUGGGGGCAACCCUGAUCCAGCAAUGCCGCGUGUGUGAAGAAGGCCUUCGGGUUGUAAAGCACUUUUGUCCGGAAAGAAAACUUCGCUCCUAAUACGGGUGGAGGAUGACGGUACCGGAAGAAUAAGCACCGGCUAACUACGUGCCAGCAGCCGCGGUAAUACGUAGGGUGCGAGCGUUAAUCGGAAUUACUGGGCGUAAAGCGUGCGCAGGCGGUUCGCUAAGACCGAUGUGAAAUCCCCGGGCUUAACCUGGGAACUGCAUUGGUGACUGGCGGGCUAGAGUAUGGCAGAGGGGGGUAGAAUUCCACGUGUAGCAGUGAAAUGCGUAGAGAUGUGGAGGAAUACCGAUGGCGAAGGCAGCCCCCUG